ACACGUAGGAGGCGAGCGUUAUCCGGAUUCACUGGGCGUAAAGCGCGUGCAGGCGGUUCGGCAAGUUGUGCGUGAAAGCUCCCGGCUCAACCGGGAGAGGUCGUGCAAUACUGCCGGACUAGAGGACGGUAGAGGGAGGUGGAAUUCCCGGUGUAGUGGUGAAAUGCGUAGAUAUCGGGAGGAACACCAGUGGCGAAGGCGGCCUCCUGGACCGUUCCUGACGCUCAGACGCGAAAGCUAGGGGAGCGAACGGGAUUAGAAACCCUAGUAGUCC
rnacentral:rRNA from 1 species